UCCACUCGGCGACCUUCCACCUAAUUCGAGGAUGGCCAACUCCAUUCAGCCGUAAUUUUGUUCCUCCACAGGAACAGGCUAACAUUUCACGGGGGCUUUGAGCUUCUACCUUCAAAAGGAAAACUGGAGAUCGGCUGCUCAGUGAUUUCUGGUUGCUGGUGUUAAAUGACCUCAGGGUCUUAUCCCCACGGAAAACAGCAAUACAGCUUAAUGAGAUAAAAAGAAACCACAAGCGCUGGAAAUGUGAAAUGUAAACAGAAAAUGCUGGAAGCGCACAGCAGGCUAUUUGGAAGGUAAAUUGAGGUACAGGUCUCAGUGAUGCUGAGAGACUGGGGAGAAAACAAAGAGAUGUAUGUCUUCACAAAAGUAUUGUACAACAUCCGAACAGAAGAGGAACACAAUGGAGAAAAAGGCCAUUAUUUCGUGCAACUCCCUCUUUACAAAAAUUGAGGUCCAUUGGAGCAGAAUCACAGUGAGCCCAGGAUGAAGCAAAUCAUCUUCACAUUCGAAACUGUGAGCCCAGGAUGAAGCAAAUCAUCUUCACAAUCGAAGCCAACUCUUCCCUGAUCUCCAUCUCUUCCUUUUCUAUACCCUCAUGGUACAGCUGUCGUGGUCUCCUGCCUUCUCACCCAGUGUGUUUAAUUCAUGUAUGCCACAAAAGAAACUCAGUAAAUGCUAUGCUGAGAAUUGCUACACCUUGGGUUUUUGAAUGUAAUGAGGAUACUGAAACUAGUACCAUGUUAGCCAUGUUGCUACUGUGUAGAUGGCACAGGGUAUAUUUCAUGCCACUGCUUUGCAACCAUUUUGGCAUAGAUCAGGUGCCAUGAUUAUAAUGAUACAAUCCAACACCAUGUUGCCUCUCAUCCAGUUUUCACUUCACGCUUUGUCACCCACCAAUGAUCUCCAUUGUCAACUUAUUGAGGACAAUCGAGAGUUUUGAUUUGUUGAAUCUUAUAGUUAGUUUUAAACUUAUA